ensembl:lncRNA
CAGAGGGGUUUGUUGCUUCGGUUAGCAUGGGGGUAUGACAACAUCAGAGACCGUCCCAGCUCUGCUGAAGCCAGCAGCAGCCUCCCACUGGCUCAGCUUUUGGGAAACUAUUUAAGCAAAGCCAAGAGAGAGCUGAAACUGCAGUGCAUACAGCUGGGUGGCUAAUUUUUGCCUUUUUAAGGAAUUUCUUUUGGACGUGACUUGUUCUUGCUCUGGUUUAAUCAUACCAGCUCUCUGUAGGAAAAAGAAAGAGCAGUGGAAAAGCCAUUCUCAUUCUGCAAGACAAACCAUCGACGUUGCGCUUGUGUGGGCAAAUGGACUGCCUGAGUUACUCUGGAGCAGUGAUGGGUAUUCUGGAAUAUUUGUUGUGUUCGAAUGGGUUAUUCUGACGUACAGCUACAUGCUUUCUGCCAUAAUCCUUAGAUUAUUUCUGUCUUAGAGCAGGUUCCCUGAGACAAUGAUCUAUGUACGCUUUGCUGAGAGCCUGCAUUCACUUUCCUCCUUCCAAGGCUGCCUGAAGUGUAACCUAAAUGGUCCUGCUGGUCUUCACCCUGCAGGCAGAAUAUACAGCACUGAGCCAUCCUGUGGUUUCAGCACAGCUAACGCAAGAGCAACGUCAGAGGUUCCCUGCACCUCCUGGCCCCCAGUAGUGGGGCGAAGACUACCAAAUGGGUUCUACAUCAAAAGGCCACUGUUAAUUCUUUCUGCUGCAGGUACCAUGGUGAUGAGUCUGGCACAAGUGCCUGGAAAUAUAAAUUUAGCUAGCAUGCUGUUCCUGGAGCUGGAUAUAAAUGUCUUCAUUCCAUGUGUGCACUGUUACUCCACAGAUAAGGAAAAAGUGACCUAUAAAGCCUUCCCUGACCUAAGAAGUCAAUUAAAGUACAAAAAAAGAGCAGCUGAGUACAGCAGGGGAAUUCAUCCGCUGUUUAUCAGCUUGGACCUCAAUGCUCACCCACUCAGCACUGGAGUAAGUAUAGAGGGAGGACAAUACAGCCACAGAAGAGAGAAACAAAACCAGGAAAGUAAAAUGGAGGGAAUUCAUCUCUGGGGGAAUUGCACAGUGAAUGCUGAGUUACAUCGGUUUCCAAUAUCUUUUCAGUUCAUAAAGACUGAUCACUACCAGCUUUGUUCUGCGGCCUCUGGUGAAAAAUAAAGGAUCCACUUCAUCCAGAAAAUACUUUGGAGGUCAGAAAGUGUUUUUGUCUCCCCAGGGGUUUUCAGUGCUGGCAGGAGGGGCAGAUUUGGUUUCUCAAAUAUAAAGAGGAGAGCUAAC